rnacentral:tRNA from 1 species
GCGCACUUAGGUCAAAUGGUAAGAGCAUCACUCUUGAAAGUUGAGAUUGUGGGUUUGAUUCCCACAGUGCACA